CUUGUGUGCGUAACUGGGAUCGAUCAAGGGCAGGGAAAAACAAGGGUUACCUUGUUCUUGCAAGAAUUCAGCAAUUGACAAGGAGAAAUCAAGUUUAAUUGCUGCAUGUUCUAAAACUUCAAACCUCUAAGCAUAUCUAGUAGAUUGGCGUGAAGGAAGAAGGCUCAAGUGCUAAGAAAAUGGAAGGUUCACAAGAUCGAGGUAAAUCCUCGACUUAGGCGAUUGGACGACUUGGAACGUGCACACAUGGUUUACGCCCGCUUCUCGCUUCCGUUGUUAAGCCCCUUUUUGGAAUGGUUUAAGACUUGGUCUUUUGUAUUUAAGUCUAGUUAGUAUGUUGUCAUCUUUGUCGUAGGGUAAAAAAAUUUGGUAGAUGGAAAUCAUGUCGUGACCAAUGUGAACUUGUUUGUUUGUUUUGGGUUUUUGUCAGAAAUGUUUAGUGUUUAAGUUUGGUUUGUAAAACAGGUGGUUAAUGAUGUCCAAACGAAUAGGUCAUGUCGAAAUUUUCAAAAAUA